GCCAAGACCCCGAGUCUCCAAGUCUCUGCCAUCUAGUGGCCAUAGUCAAGAGAUACUGGUUUUCUACACAGCUUUAAAUGUACAAAUGUUGACCACUAGAUUUUUAGGACUGAAACGGAACUUAAAGAAGUCAUCAAGCCUGUCCUCAAUAUUUCUGAGCUCAGCAGGAUUCCAGGAGAGAAUCAAAAAAAUAAUGUGACUCACAGUUUGCUGCUAGCAGAUACAAGAUGCUUUUGAGAAUCCUUCAGCCUUGGUUUUGACUUGUUUUGCCAUUGGUAAGAAUUCUAAAACACUUGAUCCAGGCUUCUUGCAGAUCAUUGCCUCCCCCACCUCACUCCACUAUAGCUUCACACAAUGUCUAAGUUUCUAGAAAAAAAAAAAUAUAUAUAUAUAAAUUUCAGCAAAAUGGAAACUGUAAAAGCCAACUUCCCCACUCAAUGGCUACCUUGAGAUUUAUUUUCUGUUCUCUUCACAUUCAAGCUCCUGUGUAACAAUGUGACCUUUUUAAAAAUACACAAAUUAGUAGUUAUAAUUUGCAAUUUCAUUCACGCUACAGAAAUAUGGGAAUUAUAAUGGCAUUGGCAAUUAACUUGUCCAUUUGUGUUCAAUUUUGGCUUGCUAAUGUAUAAUGAUGGUGAAGAAAAGAGCAUAGGUAAAUAGGAAAUACGACCUAUAAUUUAUAAUUACACAUAUGUAUUGGCUUGUACUGAAUUUGUAUUUAGAAACAGUGCCUAGAUUUUAACUCUUUGAGUUGAGCUUUUGUACAAAAGAAGUAUUUAAUUAUUUUAGAGGUUUUUCUGUUUUUAUGGAUCAAUUUGUGUCACUAUUCAGAGUGUCCAUCUGUUCUUCAUGAGUUCUGGGAAUAUAGUAAAGCUUGCAUGUUAUUUUUUCCCCAUUGGUAAUGAAGCAGAAUAUAACCAAAGAAAGAAGACAUCUACAUAUUUAUUAGCCAAAUAAAAUAAUACAAUAUAACCA
rnacentral:lncRNA from 12 species